rnacentral:lncRNA from 1 species
AUAUAUAAAGGGGCAAGAAGAACUGGUGACAGCUUUGUGUGACCCCUGUCCAAUGUCCCAGUAGGCAAGACAGACAGAAAUGAGCUGGGCUGAUAUGCAGCUAUAAUAGAGAUCAAUCAAAAGUACAAAGGAGUUGUCUAAUUUUCUGUGAAACAAGGUCAAAAUGUUUGGUUAUUGUGAUUUAGGAAAUAUAGCUCUCUAAAAGAUGGGGGAAAUAUUUUCAGAUGUGUGCAUUUGAAGUAUUAUACAAUAGACUACAAUUAGUAAUAUAUACGUUAUAAUAAGUAAAAUGAAAACAUACACUUCCGUGCUGACUAGUCUGAGAUAGUUGGCUUAGAUGUUAUAAAACAACAGCUGUAAAAACUGACCAACUUUUAUGCGUUAAAAUAAUGUUUUCAGGACAUGCUUAAAGGAUUUACAGACAGCACAUACAUGCCUGUAAAUUUCUGGACUGGAAUUAAGAAGCUGAACUAUGGAAUAAAAAUUGUACACCUGUCCUAUUUUAUAUUUGGAUGUAUUACAUUACAGGAUACAAAGUAAGAGAUUGCUGAACAGCAGUUUCAAAAAAAUACCAUGAUCUGAAUGAAUAAAUACCUCUCAGAAGCUACAGCAUAAAUUUUUCAGUUUGUUGUACAUCUGCUGCUGCUAAAAUAACCUGCUGUGUGGGGUGGGUGAAGAACCGGACUAGUCCAACUAGCUGCAGUGCUGCCCAGGGUCAUAUUGCUGCUUACAUUCCCACACCUCCAGCCAUGCCAACUGUGUAAUAUCAACAGAAAGAGAAAACAGAGUCAUCUCCUUUAACAAAGAGCACUGUUAGCUCUGGCAACACUGUAAAUCAUGUCUUGAAUGGCCACCUAAAUAAGAAAAAUAAAGAACUGAGGACAAAAUGGUUGUAUACACAUAACAGUCCUCACGUGACAAGUAAGGAAACAUUGAAAAAGUUUGUGAGGACUUGAUUCCAGUAAAAAAUCAUGUAAGUCAAGAUUUAUUUAUCCCACUUCCACAUCAAAAAUAACCCAGCAACAAAAAAAAAAAAAAAUCCCUAGAAAUUCCCAGCACCGCUAGGCCUUGUACCUACAACUGAUAAGACAUAAAAUGCAUAAUCUUCAUAAAGAGGAUUAACUGCAAAAGUUUGAGUCAUAUAGAAGAACAGUAUUAGCCAAUCAUCUUCAAAGACUAAGGAAGAAAGAGUUGAUUAUUACAUAUUAUUUAUCUUUAAAGGAAUUGUCUUUCUUUUUUUUAUUUGGUGUCUCUUUAAGUCCUAUAACUUAAUUUUAUGCAUACCCAGACACUUCAGUUCUUCAGUGCUGUACAUCUAUCCUAAAAUCUUCUAAUCGAAAAUCAUCUAUUAAAUCCAUCCCUGAUAUCUACUGCAUAUGGCAGAGUUGUGGUAAGAUUUAAGUGAACGCAGUCUAAUUUUUAUUUGUUUCUGAGGUAGCAAUUAAGGUGAACAUUGCUUCCAAAAACCUCUGAACAUCAAAACUAGCAAAACUAAGAGAACUAUAAGCAUUCAUUGAAAAUGUGACUCCUUCUUGUCUAGGGACCUUAAAGGAUACUGUAGUUAGAUGCAAACUGAAGACAGCCCAAUCAGGGGGAAAAGUUGUGAUUUUCUACCUAACCUUUCCACUUAAACUGUUUGGGAUUAAUUUCUUACAGGCAGUUCUGUUAAACAAAACUUGGUAAAUAUCUUCCCACUGAAAUGGUGAUUAUUACAACAAAACAAAUUGUAAGUCAGGGGCCUUUGACAAAUAGCAAAAACUUCUAUCAAGUUCCUAAAGAGACUGGAGUCAUUAACAUUACAGUCAUCACCCUUGGCAAGAGAGCAACUAGGAACAAAGAAGAAUUAUUACUAAAAGAACAAUAAAGUGGUUUAGAUACAUCAAGAUCAAUUAGGCAUUAGUUUUAAUAUAGCCUAAAGUUAAAAGCUGUAAAACAACAGAGAAUUUUCCCAUUUGCAUCAUUUAAAGUUCACAGCCCAAGGAAAAUACCAUGUAUAAAGAAACCAGAGAGCCUUCUGUGAAUUGUGUGUCAAUUAUCUAAUUACUUUUGAUAACAUCAGGUGCAAACCUUCAAGGAAAAAGCUUUAAAGAGCUCUUGCAGGUACCAGUGUAUUAGGAGAGUAAUAAGACUUCUUGUAGGGAGAAGAGAAAGGAGGAGAAACUGCAUCUUGCUUUGAAAUUAAUGUCCUGUCCCUGGUUGCAAGAAUGUGAGAGACAAGAGUUGCACAACAGUUACUGGAGCAUGUUAUCAACUCUAAAUACAGCUUCUCAGCUUGGGAAGAGAGACAGGGAGACUGGUUUCUACUUUGACUCUUACUUCCAGGCUGAGAUGCUGUCAUGUAUUCCUGCUAGUCGAGAAGGAAAGAAUCCAAGUCUGGCUCCUCCCUCCUGCCUCCCUCCUUUGUCUGCAAUGUCUGUGGAUGGGGAAGAGUGAGAUCCUGCUUUGGGAUCCUGCUGCCUGGGCAGGUCCUUGCAGAGGUAGCAGAGCUUCUCUGACAGAAGAAGUCAGCAACAAGAUCUCAGCCUACAGACAUAGCUCCACCUUAGGGCUUGCAUAGGGCAGCUGCCCUUGAACUCCAUCACAAAAGGCCUGUGCACCACCAGCUUGGUCAAUAGCUCCAAACAUUAGCUGCUCAGUGGUGGUGUUUGUAUCCGUGCUUCUCUGCCUGGUAAUUCCCUGCACCAGCUGGAGGACUGUUGCCUGCCUGUAACUGAGAUAAUCUUCAGCUAGCUUAUACCUAAAGACUGGACAACAUGCUGUCCCAGCCAGGUGGGAAGAUGUGUCUGCACUCCUGGUCAGCACCAGUAUCUCUGAUUUUUGAAAGAAAAUUGUAGUGACUUCUUCAGCUGGAAGCCUUGUGACCAGCUGAGCCUUCUCCAUGUUCAUGACAAGCAACCUGCAUUUAUGGCUCUUUAAGAAGGUUUGACCCCUGACCCCUCAAGGACUGGGACACACAACUGACAUGAGACCACACCAAGCAAAAAUGAGAUUCAGGAAAUGAUGCAAGUUUAAUUUCUGUUUGAAAUGUUCAGAAAUAUGGCACCUUGGAAAAGGAGAUUUUCCAGACCUGAGACUGGUCUCAGUAUAUGACUACUCAUAUUUUGUCUGGCUCAAAAUACAGGUAAGUUUUUCUGAAAAGUAAUUUUAAACAUAUAUAUAUUACUUUUUAAAUGGCAAAACCAUGCUCAGAAUCAUUCCAUUUCUUCCCAUACUUAAAUGAAACGCCCACAUAACAGACCAUCCCAUCCACUAUUUUAAUGAGAUCUAAAUCUGUCAAGGAUUGUCAACACUCAUCAGUGUGGAUAUUUUUAGGACUUGUAGGUGCAAAAGAACUUAAUUUUUUCUAGACAAAAGCAGUAUUAAUAAUACAACAUAGUUCAUAAACAUUGACUGGUACUCAUUAUCAGAAAGGGCAGCUGGAAAAAAAAAUCAUUUUACAUUCCAAUCUUCAGGACAUUGGUAGACUCCAGAGCAGUACAAUAAAUAAUGAGCUUGCUUACUGCUGUUGUGUGGGAAAAGAGAAGAGGAGCUGGAGGUGAUACUGCAGGAAUAAAACAGACUAAGUAGGCAUGACAGGAGUAUGGGGGCUAAAUGUAAUGACAGGAACUUCAUAACACAUUCUUCAUAAAAGUGACAGGAAAAGCAAAGGAGGUGAACAGCACUCUGCCAAAAGCAUCUAUUCAAAUGCUGAAAUAACGAAGGAUAAUUUUUGGUAGGACAUGCAUGGCUAAACUGCUGGCUUUAAAAAUGAAGGAUAAUUGAGAAUUCCAGGAAGAAUGGUACUAAAGACUGGAGAUCAUGAGCACAAAACAGUGAAGAUUAAGCAAUCAUAGUCUAAGUUGCAAAAGCAUAUAUUAAGUACUCCCUAGAGGCACUUGUUUGAUUAAAGUACUUUUAAAACUAUCUCAGAAAUUUGGAAGAAUUUAAAAUCCUUUACUUCAGUACAUUUUUGUCAGCUCUGAGAUUAAAUAUACACACACUGUAAAUAUUUAGGGCAUAACUUUAUAUUCAUCAUAAUGUACACCAAACUGUAGCCUUUGGAUUAUUCCUAGCAGUGACCACCUCAUUAAUCCAGAAUCUCUCUUCAAAUCCUUCAGUGCUGCAGGUGGUGUCAGAAGGGAGCAUGAGCUUAAAAUAGAGUAAGGGAGAUCUGGUCAGGCAUCUUCAGCCACACAUUGAGUUCCUACCUUCUCAGAUGAAAACUAGGGAAGGUGUGUCUUGGAUUCCACCAGGACACACCAGGACUCCGAUAUGCAGUACUAAUAAAUCUGCUGUAGGGCUAAGACACUGCGCAAGCUCUCUGUAAGUGUCAAUGGCCAGCUCACCUUAGAUCCAAAGGAACAGUGUAGAAAACAGCAAAGGCUUUGCUCAGAGAUGACCAUCUAAAUGCAAGGUCAGGAUGGGAAAAGAGAUUACAUGGAGCUGGAAGGUUUCACUAGAGCAAAGGCGUUGCUUGUGUUUAGAGUAUUCUGUUUAGGAAGGGAAGUUACUUUCUGCCAGCUGGCAUUUUCCAACACUUUCUUUAAUCAAAGCAUGACCAGGUUUGCUGUUACAUGAAGCCUAGAGUAUAUCAUGCAGGGAAAUACUGCACUUGAUGAAGUGCUGGUAGUUAUAUCUGGAAACAUCUAAAGAAAGUGUAACUGUUUGAGGUCUAGAAUCCAUUUGUCACGGUUUAACCCCAGCUGGCAGCUAAGCACCACUACACCUCACACACUCACCCCCAGCAGGAUGUGGGCGAGAACUGGAAGGGCAAAAGUAGGAAAAGUUUUGGGUUGAAAAAAAGAUAUUUAAAUAAGUAAAGGAAAAGUCAUGCACACAAGCAAAGCAAAAGAAGAAACUCAUUCACUCCUUCCCAUAGGCAGGUGCGGGUUCAGCCAUCCCCAAGAAAUCUGGGCUUUAUCACACCUAAUGAUGACUUGGGAAGACAAACAACAUCACUGCAAAUGUCCCCCUCCCUUCCUUCUUCUUCCCUCACUUUAUAUACUGAGCAUGGUGCCCUAUGGUCUGAAAUAUCCCUUUGGUCAGUGGGGGACAGCUGUCCCAGCUGUGUCCUCUCCCAAUUCCUCAUGUACCCCCAGCCUCCUGUCUGGCAGGACGGGGUGAGGAACACAAAAGGCCUUGAUUCUGGGCAAGCCCUGUGCAGCAACAACCAAAACAUCCUGGUGUUAUCCUUUCCAGCACAAAACCAAAAAGUCCCAUACCAACUACUCUGAAGAUAAACUCCACCCCAGCCAAAACCAGCACACCAUUGCUAAUUUCAAAGAUUUAAUUUCAAACCUAUUUACAUGACAAAAAAAAAAUAGUUGUGUUUGUGCUCUCUGCACUAAGUAGAAGGAAAAUUUGGUCUCUGAAGUGCAGAUUUUACAAAGAUUGUCUAUGUGUUGAUAGAAGACAACUCUCAAAUGAGCAAAAUGUGAGGUUUUAUGUAGAGUGAAGCCUUCAUAGCAGCUUGUUGUACUAUGGAACUUCGUAACACAUGAUUUUCACCUUGAGAGGUACAAAAGUCUGUAGGAAUUUCCUUGCAGACAUUGUGUUCUGAACAAGCAGAGUAGUUUUUUGUGGCCAGAUAUUCAGGACAAGAGUUAAGGGGUAGAUCCACAUCCAGAUACUUCUCCUGUGUGAGCAACUGCAUGAGGUUUUGACACUGGUUAGUGACCCUGCUCCCAACACCAUCCCCCAAAUCCCCAGCAAUAAGGCAACUGCAUGGCUUAGGGGAUUGGUAAUCGGAUACCUCACCUCCAGGUCAUCCUAGGUCUCUGGUUCAAGAGCAGCAAGGCUUUGUAAUGACUUAAAUGCCAUUGCAUAUUUAUUUGGAGUCAUACAUGGAGAAGUGAACAUAUGAUUUCUAUGUGAAAAGCAGUAGGUGUCCACAUACAGAUACAAACAUUUUGACAGUUGCCAGCCUGUUUGAAACAUUUGAAUUACUAAAUAUCAGUCUAACAGAGAUUUGAAUAAUUCCCUAAUAACAGAUUUGUGUUUGGCUUUAAUACUGUCUUUAUAGUAAAAGCAUCAUGGUUUAUCUUUAUUUAUAUAUUAUGUACUUAUUUUACUUUUAUAUAUACUUAUGUUUUUAUAUAUACAUUUAUAUUUACUUACAUUUUGUCACUAAGUGGGACUAAAGCUUAUGUUUAACCCUCCAUCUUUU